rnacentral:lncRNA from 1 species
UCUUGGCAAGGUUUGUGAAGAAAAAUGAAGAAAAGUUGAGAGAAGAAGUUGAAGGAUUUUGUGAUUUUCAGAUCUAGAUCUCAAUUCUGUUAUGAUUAGUCCAAAAGCAGUUAUGAUUUAGCUUAUAUAUGUGAUGUUAAACAUGUUACUAAUCAUGAUUAGUGUAAAUGCUAAAGAUUAAGUGAAUUGGAAGUUUUGGUGCAUUUUAG